GAGGCUGAGCCGUCGUGUCCGCUAAUUAGUUGUCGCGAUAUUAAUGAGUGGUGCGGCCUGACCGUACCUGGCGAUCUGUGAGAAAGUUAAUAAGUGUUUCCAUCUUAAAAAUCAGUUUUACAGUAUUAAAACCUCUCAAAAUGGACCACAAUAAUAAUUUGUUGAAUGCAAAUCGAUCCAUGUCACAACAACGGGAUCCAGAAGGCCAGCGAGGGAUGCAAAGCUGUUGGACUCAAAAUAAGACCAAUCAAAACCAGCAAUCAAAACUAACAACUGAAAAAGCAAGAGCGAGGGAAGUCAGACUAGAAUUUACAAACCAAGC